CCGAAGAAGGCUUGCCGGUGCCCAAUAGUUGGAACAUUGAGCACCUGCACAAGUUCUACCUGUGAAACGGUGGUGCCUUACCCACGGGUGACGCUGCGGCAGCGUGCUUCUUUAAGCUAGUGUAGCCGGGCAAGGCCCGAUUGUAAUCCGCUAGCACAAAGUUGAAUAAAGAUAAGUGUUGCCUCAAUAAUUGUUGUGCUUUGCUGUUUAUAAGUGCUUUCGUCUCCUGCUCUAGGUGCAAAGAAUUGUCUCCUCAUCCUUGCCUGUGAGCAGGGGGUUGCCGGAACCCUGAAAACAAAGCUCGUUGUCGGGACGUCUCAGAACGAGGCCUAGCAGUUGCCGGACCCGUCCGCAAUGUGCUACGUGCCAGCAGGGCACCGUGGAAAUAUAAAGAUGCUCACACCCAAGUCUGAGGUCGACUCUUCUGUGCCUGGGGGCUGGGAGGGAAUUCUGACGAUGAGUAAGGUUACGUUGUGUUGGGUCACGAGCCUGCAUUCCAACAUGCGCUCUCUGUGGUGUUGCAAUGGCUCAAUUUUUCCUUCGUUUUCCGCUGCCGAACAAUUUAUUUAUUUAGUUUCAAUGCUAACCCGAGUGGUUAUGCAAAGUUGUAAGUACUAUAAAGUUUUGGAUGAUGACGAUGUAAUAAAUUACUUGACCUUUGUUUCUC